rnacentral:rRNA from 1 species
GCUUAACCGGAGAAGUGCAUCGGAAACUGGGAGACUUGAGUGCAGAAGAGGACAGUGGAACUCCAUGUGUAGCGGUGGAAUGCGUAGAUAUAUGGAAGAACACCAGUGGCGAAGGCGGCUGUCUAGUCUGUAACUGACGCUGAGGCUCGAAAGCAUGGGUAGCGAACAGGAUUAGAUACCCUGGUAGUCCAUGCCGUAAACGAUGAGUGCUAAGUGUUGGAGGGUUUCCGCCCUUCAGUGCUGCAGCUAACGCAUUAAGCACUCCGCCUGGGGAGUACGACCGCAAGGUUGAAACUCAAAGGAAUUGACGGGGGCCCGCACAAGCGGUGGAGCAUGUGGUUUAAUUCGAAGCUACGCGAAGAGCCUUACCAGGUCUUGACAUCUUCUGCCAAUCUUAGAGAUAAGACGUUCCCUUCGGGGACAGAAUGACAGGUGGUGCAUGGUUGUCGUCAGCUCGUGUCGUGAGAUGUUGGGUUAAGUCCCGCAACGGGCGCAACCCUUAUUAUCAGUUGCCAGCAUUCAGUUGGGCACUCUGGUGAGACUGCCGGUGACAAACCGGAGGAAGGUGGGGAUGACGUCAAAUCAUCAUGCCCCUUAUGACCUGGGCUACACACGUGCUACAAUGGACGGUACAACG